GUGCCGGACCAUGUACAAGUCUCUUGGAACAGAGCGUCAUAGAGGGUGAGAAUCCCGUCCUUGACAUGGACUCCCGGUGCUUUGUGUUGAGCUCUCAGCGAGUCGAGUUGUUUGGGAAUGCAGCUCAAAAUGGGUGGUAAAUUCCAUCUAAAGCUAAAUAUUGGCGAGAGACCGAUAGCGAACAAGUACCGUGAGGGAAAGAUGAAAAGCACUUUGGAGAGAGAGUUAAACAGUACGUGAAAUUGUUGAAAUGGAAACGAUUGAAGUCAGUCGCGUUCUCUGGGAUUCAGCCUUGCUUCUGCUUGGUGCAUUUCCUAGUCUACGGGCCAGCAUGGAUUUCGACCGUCGGAAAAGGGCUGGGGGAAUGUGGCACCUUCGGGUGUGUUAUAGCCCCUUGUCGCAUGCAUCGGUUGGGAUCGAGGACCUCAGUGCACGCUUCGGUUGUGCUUUGAUGCUGAGGCAAUGGCUUUGCCCGACGAGUCACUAGGUAACCCCCGGCCGCCUNCCGGUCGACCAAAG
rnacentral:rRNA from 1 species